AAUUUGGCACAAUUGUGGAAACCCUGAUCCAGCCAUCCUUCGUGUAUUAUGAAGGUCUUCGAGUUGUCUUGUACUUUUGGCAGCGAAUAAAAGGUAUCCACUACUACUGGAUACUGCUGACGUUAUCUUCAGAAUAAGCACCGGUGAACUACGUGCCAUCAGCCGCGGUAAUACGUAGGGUGCAAGCGUUAAUCGGAAUUACUCGGUGUAAAGCAUGUGUAGGCGGUUCGGAAAGAAAGAUGUGAAAUCCCAGGGCUCAACCUUGGAACUGCAUUUUUAACUGCCGAGCUAGAGUAUGUCAGAGGGGGGUAGAAUUCCACGUGUAGCAGUGAAAUGCGUAGAUAUGUGGAGGAAUACCGAUGGCGAAGGCAGCCCCCUGGGAUAAUACUGACGCUCAGACACGAAAGCGUGGGGAGCAAACAGG
rnacentral:rRNA from 1 species